rnacentral:rRNA from 1 species
AACGAACGCUGGCGGCAUGCCUAACACAUGCAAGUCGAACGAGAGCUUCGGGACUAGUGGCGCACGGGUGCGUAACGCGUGGGAAGCUUCCCUUAUGUUCGGAAUAACUCUCCGAAAGGGGUGCUAACACCGGAUAAUGUCUUCUGACCAAAGAUUUAUCGCCCUUGGUUGGGCCCGCGUUGGAUUAGCUAGUUGGGAGGGUAAAAGCCUACCAAGGCGUCGAUCCAUAGCUGGUCAGAGAGGAUGAUCAGCCACACUGGGACUGAGACACGGCCCAGAAUCUUACGGGAGGGAGGAGUGGGGGAUAUUGGAAAACGGGCGAAAGCAUGAUCGAGCAAUGCUGGGUGAGUGCUGAAGGCCUUAGAGUUGUAAAGCUCUUUUACCCGGGAUGAUAAUGACGGUACCGGGAGAAUAAGCUCCGGCUAACUCCGUG